rnacentral:lncRNA from 1 species
GAUCUCUAAGAAUAAUAUUGUAAUGACCGACCCCUAACCUUUCCCAGUUAGGUUUGAUCUCAGCCUUAACCUUAGUCAGCUGUUUGGUUGACCGCACCUAAGUGCUUAGUCUUCCGCCAGUCCGACCCCUGGAUCCGACCCCUUCCUGCUUCGCUUCUCUCCCGACCCCGGCGAGUUCAACCCGACCAUCGGAUCCUGCUGAUCUUCCUCACCCGUCCGAUCUAUCCUCGGUGGACCCGCGAGAUCUUC